GAUGAACGCUAGCGGCAGGCUUAAUACAUGCAAGUCGAGGGGUAGCAAGAUUGUAGCAAUACAAUUGUUGACGAACGGGAAACGGGUGCGGCACACGUACACAAUCGUCCUACAAGUGGCGAGUAGCCCACAGAAAGUUGGAUUAGUACAAAGUAACAUAGUGUUGUGGCACCCGAUUGCGAUUACAGCUGCGGCGUUUGCUGAGGGUUGUGCGGCUGAUUAGGUAGUUGGCGGGGUAACGGCCAACCAAGUCUACGAGCAGUAGCUGAUGUGAGAGCAUGAUCAGCCACACGGGCACUGAGACACGGGCCCGACUCCUACGGGAGGCAGCAGUAAGGAAUAUUGGACAAUGGACGCAAGUCUGAUCCAGCCAUGCCGCGUGAAGGAUUAAGGUCCUCUGGAUUGUAAACUUCUUUUAUAAGGGACGAAAAAAGGUCUUUCUAGAUCGUCUGACGGUACCUUAUGAAUAAGCACCGGCUAACUCCGUGCCAGCCGCCGCUGUAAUAC
rnacentral:rRNA from 1 species